rnacentral:rRNA from 1 species
CCUACGGGCGACAGCAGUGAGGAAUAUUGGUCAAUGGACGAGAGUCUGAACCAGCCAAGUAGCGUGAAGGAUGACUGCCCUAUGGGUUGUAAACUUCUUUUAUAUGGGAAUAAAAUGUUCCACGUGUGGGUUUUUGUAUGUACCAUAUGAAUAAGGAUCGGCUAACUCCGUGCCAGCAGCCGCGGUAAUACGGAGGAUCCGAGCGUUAUCCGGAUUUAUUGGGUUUAAAGGGAGCGUAGGUGGAUUGUUAAGUCAGUGGUAAAAUUGGGGGGCUCAACCCAUUCCCGCCAUUGAAACUGGCGCUCGUGAGUGGAAGAGAAGUAUGCGGAAUGCGUGGUGUAGCGGUGAAAUGCAUAGAUAUCACGCAGAACCCCGAUUGCGAAGGCAGCAUGCCGGCUUCCGACUGACGCUGAAGCACGAAAGCGUGGGGAUCGAACAGGAUUAGAUACCCGUGUAGUC